CUCGACGGUUGAGAAAGAAUCAUUGGACAUUGUGGCGGAUGCCUUAUCACGAAAACCAGAGAAUGAAGGAUGAACAAAGACAAUCAACCAUUUGCUUGUUUAUGAAGCCUGCCAUAAAUAUGAUCCCAAUGACCACCUCGCAUCUCUGUGUGAUGCAGAAGACCUGCGCUUGUUAGCUCUCCACCUUUCAGCUUCACAAGUGCAACACGUUUGGAUCGGGCUAUCUGACCAAGAUAAGGAUGGAAAAUGGGAGUGGUCAGAUGGAUCUGAAGCCCCCUUCAUGCCUUGGGGUGAGGGGGAACCUGAUGAUUCUGGCGUCAAGUUUUGUGUCUUCUUGUCUCGCCAAGAUGGUUUUCAGAAAUUUAGAACUGGCCGUUGCCCAUACGUUGUGCCCUACGUUUGUGAGCAUAAGCCAAAGUGUUGGGGUCCGUGACCUCAUCCCUGCCCCUGGAUGACUCCAUCAAACCCAAGAGGCUUCCAUCCCACUUAGUUGCUGAGGUCCCCCAGCCCUGCCUUUCCAGCUGUACCUUUUUAGCGCCCCACUAGAUCAUGGUCCACUUACUGCUCUCACAAUGGCCAACUAGAUGUUCCCAUGGGAAUCCUAGAAGUAGGACUGAGUGCAAGAGCACCUUCCCCUGUGAGCCAAGGAUGAACGAUCUCUGUAGACCUUCAGAUGGAACAAAGCUGUGUCAUCCCAGACCAUUGCCCUGCUGGUGGCAUUUGUGCCCUUUGGGGUUCCUUAUAAGUCAGCAGGGGAUGUGGGUGGCGCUGUGGGUUAAACCACACAGCCUAGGACUUGCCGAUCAGAAGGUUGGCGGUUCGAAUCCCCGCGA